UCUUUCCUUUUAAAACUAAGAAAACAUUUUCCCUUUUGUAACAUUUAACCACCUUUAGAUGAAUUUACACUGAUUCUUUGAAUUAAAUAAUCAGCUACACAACAUGACCCUUCAGUAGAGUGGCAUGAAUUUAAAAGGAUCCAGCUGUGAACUGUUAUCACACACAAGCUCUGGAAAAUGUUAGGAAAAGUUCUCACAUGUAGCAAUUCAGAGGCAGUUUUUCUCAGCAGUAUUCUCAAUAUUAGAGUAAAACCUUUACCUCCUUGAGUGUAAUAUAAUGCAGUUUUGUAAAAUGCCUUGUGCAUCUCCCCAUUACACACAAAUUGCCCUUAGGCUUGGGUUCCUUGAUCCACAGCGCUGAGCGAGAGAACAAUCAAAUCCAAAAUUGGAUGUUUGGGGGGGGCAGUCAAGACUGUGCUUCUUAUCCUGUAUACUGUAUGUAGCAGACUCAGAUGCAGACACACAUUUAAGGUAUUUAUUUAAACCAAAAGUGAAAGGUGAAAGCUGAAAGAAGAGAGACCAUGGUAGAGAGUGGGAAGACAGGCGAGUAUGGCUGGCAAGAAUGGGCAAGUUUCACCACAGCACUAGAUGUCCAUUUAUGGCGAGGUCUGGAUGAAUGGGCUGGUUCUUGCAAUGAGAUAACAGCAUACAGGUGAAGGACCCCGCCCUCCCCUCAGAGGAGAUUUGGGAAGCAACAUAAUUGGUUCAUGUCUUCGGUUUCACCUGUGUUUUCAGGCUUUGAAAUGUGCCGGUGCUGAGGCCCAAGGUUUUACGUGUGAUUCAGAUCUUUGUAAUGUCUAAAUUCAUAAACAGUCUUUUUGUGAUGUGGUUAAUGAUCUCUGAUUAGAAAAGUAAUAGGUUACCAAAGUAUCUCCAGUUUGCGAGGGUGUGAUUUAUGUAUAUGAGUGAGAUAAAUAAUUUCAAACUGGCUGAAUUGUUCUGUGUGACUGAAGCCAUGAUACCUUGAAGUUUUGACACACCUGAAUUGAUGUCAAUGAUCAUUUAAUUCAUACAGUUUGAAACUGAAGACGAGUAAAACCUGUCAUUGACGUACAGCAAGUGAAAACACCGGGAAAGGGAUCAUUUGUGCAUUCAUUUAGUUUUUAUGAGUCUUUAUAAUAAGAGGAAAUUUUACUGUGAUACAACCAGUUUUGGGACCCGUAACGUGAGCAAGUUGUAAAAAAGCAAAACAAAGUAAAAAAACACAAAGGUCUCGACAGGAUAGAGACUGUGGUCUCCAAGAUAACAAACCUGCAACCUCCAACCGUUUAACCACAGCCACAGCCAGUGCGUCUUAUGAAAGAAGUGCCCCAAGAUAAGAACAGGUUGGCUAUUGAAAGCAUUCUGAACUACUGGAUGUGAAGUAGUCAGACACGAACGUCAAGGAAGGUGGUAGGGAAGCAGACUAGGCAGGCAUUUCAGAUUUCCAAGGUGAGCAAUUUAUUUACAGUGAACUUAAUAUAAUGUAACUUAACAAAACUUCCCCCCAAAUCAAUUCAAUUAACAAAACUCAACAUAACAUGGCUCUGGUGACACAGCUCACCUCUCCUCUCUCUUGCAUCUGCUAGAGACUGGCUUUAAAUAGGGCCAUCAAUUUCCCUCCAAUUGCCCAGCCAGUACCACUCACUCAACUGAGGGAUGUAAAACUCUACACAAAUGAUUUAAAAACACAAAACCUCUACACACGUCUAAUAUGCACAUUUACACAACUAAAUGGCAUUAUUAACAAAAGGAAAAACAUUCAACAAAUUCCUUUAAGCCUUCACAAAGAAAAGGAAGCAUCUCUAUGGAAAAAGAAACCCCUCCACUUAGUUUGACCUGCUGAUGUCAUGUGUGACAUCAUCAGGAUUUUAAAAUGAGGAAAUGCCAGGCGGGUGUUUCCCCACACCUGACCCUCAUGAAAACUGAAAAGACAAACAAAAUCCUGUCAAGCUUUGUCAGAUUACACAGGAACCAUCUGUGAACUGACAUCUUCUGGUCUCUCCACAUUUCUUCUUGAAGGUUUAAGUCUGGACUUUGGCAGGUGCACUCAAGGACAAUCUGACUUUCCUUGAAGCCACUUCAGUCGAGAAGUAUAUCUACAAUCUCCAGCUGUACAUGUACUUGAAAUCUUGAAAUUUUGGC